AAAACAUCUUUUCUUGUAAUUUAUUUGAGAUUUGACCUGCCCAAUGAUUAAUAUUAAAUGGCCGCGGUAUUUUGACCGUGCAAAGGUAGCAUAAUCAUUAGUCUAUUAAUUGUGGACUUGUAUGAAUGGUUUAACGAAAUAUUAACUGUCUCAUUUUAAAACAUAUAAUUUAAAUUUUAAGUUAAAAUUCUUAAAUUUUUUUAUUGGACGAGAAGACCCUAUAGAUCUUUAUUAUUUAUUUUUUUAAUUUAUUUUGGUUUAUUUUUUAUUAAUAUUUUUUGUUUUUUAGUUGGGGUGAUGUAAAGAUAUGAUUAACUCUUUAUUUUUAAUUACUAUUAUUUUUGGUUAAUAUGACUUUUUAUUAUUGUUAUAAGAUAUAGAUACCUUAGGGAUAACAGCGUAAUUCUUUUUGAGAGUUCAUAUCGACAAAGGAGAUUGCGACCUCGAUGUUGGAUUAAGAUUUUAAUUGGAUGUAGUAGUUUAAUUUAUAGGUCUGUUCGACCUUUAAAAUCUUACA
rnacentral:rRNA from 1 species